GUUCUUACCCACGAGCUAUGCAGCAGAUAUAUUCAUCAUCCCCCCCACCCAGUGGAGCUCCAUACAUUCGAGUUGCUCUCUCACAUCAAGAGCAGCUCCACCACCUUGCCUCACCCGCCUGUCUUUCCUAAAGAGCACAUAGCUGUCCACGACAGCAUUCCAGUCACAUGAGCUGUCCCACCACGUCUCCGUGACCGCAAUGAGAUCACAUCCCUGUAAGCACACACAGAUCUCUGGUCCUUCCUGUUUAUUCCCCACGCGGGGUGCAUUGCUAUACGGGCACUGGGAGAGGGACAGUUCUUGCAGGCAGGCUCUCUGGAGAGGUUAUCUGGGCGGCCAAUGGGGGGCCUCAGUGCCUCCUGGCAAGGAGUCCCCCGUCACUAAGACAAUGCUGGCGCGGAACGCGUCCGCCCCAGAGCCGAGUGCCUCCAAAAACAUGCUGUGUUUUGGGGCCAGCAAGGUUGCCAGGCAUGCUGUCUGGUCCCCAGCCCAGGGCACGUCAAUCUCUGUGAGGUGACACUCCUCGGUGCGAUGUCACAGUGGCUGUCUCUUAGUCCCCUGUGGCAGCGGUGGGAGCGGUGGCUCAGUAGCUUGUGGAAGCUGCAGGAGGAGGACCCAGAGAGAGCAUUGUGUCUAUCUGGAGAGAUCCUGCUGUGAUGGAGCGGCUGAGAGCCCUUCGAGGUCUCUUUGCUUGUGUGGGCUGCAUGCCCAGGCGUACGCGUCGCGGGAGCGGAGGCAGGGUGGCAAGCUCUGUCCCUGCUUGUCCCGUGACUUCGCUGCUGCAGCGCCUGCAAGACAAGGAGGGUGACCGAGCGCAGGCGUACUGCCAGCUGGAGAGCGCCCUGUGGGAAGAGGGCAGCCGCCCGCCGUGCGGGGUGGCGAACCGGCUGCUGGCAGAGGUGUCCCGGGACCUGACGGCGGCCCAGGGCGUGACAGACAACCUGAGGGUGGCUGCCAGCAAUGUCCUGGUGGCUCUGGCGCGGUCGCACUUCAGCUUGGUGAUGGCCGAGCUCCAGGGCCACCUGAAGGCCAUGGGGGAGAUGUCCAAGGAGUUUGUGCUCAUCACCCUCAGCAAGCUGUUCAGCAUCUACGCUCCGCAGUGCAUCGCCUUCAUGUGGCUGAUACUGGCCGGCCUGCGCAGCGUGGCCGGCCAGGUGAGGAGCGGCCGCACCCUGCGCGUCGCUUGUGCUGUUGUGAAACAAUGGUCAGAAGGAGUCCAGUUUCACCUGUACUCGGGAAAGCAAUGCUCCUGGCCCACCACGGAGAAAGAGCGAAUCUAUGAGAAUCUUUACCAGCUCCUCUGCUCCGUGGUGAGGAACUGGCAGGGCUGCGAGGAGGAACAGGUGAGCACUGCUGCAGUCCCAUCCCGGGAUGGCAGCGGGGACAUCCACGCUGGCAGCUCUGUCUGUGCCCAGUAGGCUGAGAGCAGAGGGCUGA
rnacentral:lncRNA from 1 species